GAGACGCGUAAGAGGGCAUUUUGC
rnacentral:piRNA from 1 species